ACGCUGUAAAUUUACUCACUGUUAAUCCUGUAUCAGAGGAGUGCAUAUCUGUCAGAGAUCUUUGAAAAGCCGAGAAGUCCACGAGAAGUAGAUUAUUGAUUAAUUGGGUCAUCGCAAUUAACACAGUGUGUAGUGUCUAACACUAGAUAGUGAUAAAGUGCAAGUUUGGAUACGGAUUAGGAUUACUGAUCUCAUUCCCUUCCGGUUGAGUAUUUUAAAACAGAAGAAAGGUGAAAAAAGUAUAGAGUAAGAGCAAUGAAGCACGUUUUUUCAACAUCACUUAUAGUGUCGCUGUUCGUCAUCUUCACUGAUGCCCAAACAUUCCAGUAUUCUCGUGGGUGGACUAAUGGGAAGCGUUCGUCUCCAGAACAAACUGCUCCGAGUCGUACAUUGUUGCCUCACAUUCCGCUGGGAAUGGAUAAACCUGAUGAAGAGUGCAGAUUACUAAUACAGCGUUUUCUAAAAUCUCCAUGCGAUGUACGAUUAGCGAACGCUAUAGUCAACCGUAACAAGGACCUCCUGCGUGAUAUGGCUGACGAUGUGAAUGAUGGAACGGCCUUGCUAUAUGACCCUGUUCCAAUGGUGGAUACAGCAGCCAGUGAAGAUGUGAGAUUCAAACGUGGAACUCCAGACCGACGGUUGUUGAACGAUGGUAUGCACAGGCUUUAAAUUGCACGUUGUCCUGCUACAUUGGUAUACUGUGGUCGUUGAUACUAUGCUGGAAGUAGCAGCGACCAGAGCAUAAUCUAGUAGUUUAUAGUCAUUGUGAAAGGAAGUCUGAUCGAUUUCAUGUCAUUCUUUAAUCGAACGAUACAUGUACAGGUAUCUGUUCCGAUUCCAACGAACUUCAACUUCAACAGGGAUAUGCAUCAUCUAUUUAUGGGAAUGCGGAGUACUUGUGUACGGAAUCAUUGUACUAGUUAAAUUUAAACUGGGCAAAGUGUAUAUACAAACAUAAGAGGACCUAUAUUUAUUAUACAUUAAAACUAUUAAAAUGAACCUGAAACAAGCAA